CCUACGGGGGGCUGCAGUCGAGAAUCUUUGGCAAUGGGCGCAAGCCUGACCGAGCGACGCCGCGUGCGGGAUGAAGGCCCUUGGGUUGUAAACCGCUGUCAGAGGGGAUGAAAUGCGGGUGGGUUCUCCCAUCCGUUUGACAUAGCCUCAGAGGAAGCACGGGCUAAGUUCGUGCCAGCAGCCGCGGUAAUACGAACUGUGCAAACGUUAUUCGGAAUCACUGGGCUAAAAGGGUGCGUAGGCGGCCUGUGAAAGCCUCCGGCUUAACCGGAGAAUGGCGCUCUAAACUGUCUGGCUGGAGUGAGAUAGGGGUGUGCGGAACUUCCGGUGGAGCGGUGAAAUGUGUUGAUAUCGGAAGGAACGCCGGUGGCGAAAGCGGCACACUGGAUCUCAACUGACGCUGAGGCACGAAAGCCAGGGGAGCAAACGGGAUUAGAUACCCCUGUAGUC
rnacentral:rRNA from 1 species